CUGCAGCACUGGCUGCAGGAUGAGCGGGAGGCUGGUCUCUAGCCGAGAGCACUUUCUCACUGGCUUCUCUCUUCCUCACUCCCUCCUCCAGUUACUUAGUCCAGAGUCCUGCCUCAGGCUCUGUGUUUAGGAGGUGAGAAGUCAGACCAGGGUCUCUGCACUGUUGACAUGCUUCCAUUCUGAGCUCCUUUAGAGUUGUUUUAGCUCCGCCAGUCAGUCUGAUGAAGGGUUAGGGGAUCAAACCUCUGCAAUAACAAAAAUGCUGACCUUCAUGCAGACACGAGGGCGGCACCAAAUUUCGGAAGUAACCGUUUCAGCGUCUCACUCAGCAGAACUUCCAUGCGAUGCUCAACCAAGAGGCUUUUCCAGCCGUAUUUCCUUCAUCCUGCCUGUUCACCCCCUCUUCAGUCACCUCAUCUUUGCAUCGCACGCAUCAGCGAAGGAGUCUCAUUCCACUCUGUUAUUCUGAGGACCAUGCAGCACAGCUAAUUAAAACCUGUAAAGAACAAUCUGCAACAACAAAACAGAACCGGAGCCGCCCAGCAGAGAUGCUCAAGAAGCUGAAACAGAGAAGGCACCAGACGUACUGUAAUUUCAGCAACGUGACUCACCACAAAACACCAUCAUAACCUUAUUCAUAAUUUAAUAAUAUGCUUGUGCUGGGAGAUACUAUCUUCGUUAAUGAGCUAUCUUUGCCUUUAAACUAAGCCUCAGAUUUCUUUGUAGAGGAAAUAUUGUUUAUUAAAAUAAUUGCACUUAUUAAUAAAAUGGUAUGUACCCAC